GCCUGCAGUCUAGUAAAGCUGGGGGCAGGGAGCAGGUGGGCAGGCGGGCCCGGGUGAGUUCAUUGGAGCCCCUGGCCAGCCUCAUACAUUAUGCAUUUGUAUUCACUGUAGCCAUGGCAUUCCAGGCAGUGGCCCAAACAAUACAGAGGACACAGCUGUUGAGGAGCUUAUGGCCUCACAUUUUCCCCUGCAGAGCAGCCCGGAAAUCCCUUCCUGAACAUGCCAGUGUGAAGACUCCCUCCCAGUGCGGUGCAGGGACAGCUCUCCCUGGGAGAUCUCUGGAGCCAGCACAGAGCCGGAUACAGCCAAGCUCACAUUCAGCGAUGCAUUCAUCCGCAGCUUCCCACAUACUCACUCUGCUUACCCAGGGCUGGAGAUCACAGGGGCAGUUCAACAAGGCUCACAGUCAAAGCAGGGAAGUAACAGAACAGGACAGCCCGUGGCAGUCACGGAGGAAGAGGAUACAGGCGGUGCCAGCCUCUAAGGGUAAUCGUGCUGACUGCUCCCAGGUGGGGAGGCUUUGGUAGAUGCUGCUCUGGAAGAAGAGAACACACCCAGCUUCCAACCAAGAGCUGGGCAGGCCAGGGUGGCAUGGGUCACUUGCCAACUGCCUGCUAAGUUCUGCCUAUAUCUUUUACAGACACGCCAAGUUAGUGGUCCUGUUCACCUCUACUGCCCAGAGAGGAAACUGAGGCACAGGUCAGAACUGUGACCAGAAGAGGAGCUGUCAGAGGAGAUAAUCAUUUGGUCCAAGUUCAGCAAGGUCUGACUUGGGCUCUGGAUGGCAGGGUAAGUGGGCAGAACUUUCUGUGUCAAUUGACAAGGACAUCCUGGCUUCUGGUUUGUGUCUCUGCUCAUAAGGCUAUGUUCAGACCUGAGAUGUAUGCAUGGGGAGGGCAGCAUGACCAGCCUGGCAGCUGGUACAUGGCGUUGUCCAGCAAAAGAGGAUGGUGACUAAUCUACUACGGUUCUUGAACCCAGCCAUUCCAAAGAUGGAGUGUUCUGAAAAAUCAAAUUAUCCCUUAGGUGAGCUGGAUUUUAGAACAUGGCCAGCCUAGAUUUGGGUCCUGACUCUGCUACUUAUUCACUGGGUAACUUUGGGCAAGUAAGGUGUCCUCCCCCAGUCAGGGUGACCUUAUCUGCAAAGAGUAAAAGAAAGGAAUACCUACCCUUACCUUGCAGCUUUGCUGGGAGAUUGACAGAAAGCAAGUGCUCUC
rnacentral:lncRNA from 1 species